AUGCAGAUGUUUCCAUGGGAAGCUAUCAGCAGCUCAGUCUGCAGGGCACAGAGGGAUGAGCAGCAGGCUGGGGCGGGCAUUCAGCACUUUGGGUCCAAACCUGCUUGUUGCAAGUCCUUAGGGGCGAGAUCAGCAGCAGCCCCCAGAGCAGCAGCCAGAGCCCUCCGACGCCCCCAGAGUGCUGGCCACGACCACCACCGCAGCAGUCGGAGCUCUGGGGUCUGCGGCGGUGGGACCUGUGGCGCCUGUGGUGGCUCAGGCAGCAGCCCCCACACCCAGAGCUGCAGCAGCCCCCACACCCAGAGCUGCAGCAGCCUCCACCCCCAGAGCUGCAGCAGCCCCUGGAGCUGGGGGCACAGCAGGAAGACGCUGGAGGGGGACACGGGGCUGGGCACUUGGGAGGACACUUAGGAGUGCACUUGGGUGGGCAUUUGGGGGGACACUUGGGCGGGGGCUGGCACUGCUGCUGGUUUUGCUGGCAGGACAUCUUGGCAGGAACUGAAUGGAGCUGGAAGAAAAUAGAGAAAUUUUAAGUUCAACUAACCCAAAAUAACUUCCUUACAUUUAAAACUGAACUAUAAUUUCACAAGAUUUCUUCUAUAUGGUGAUCAGAUUUUAAAACCCAGUCUCCCCAAAUGAGUUACAAGAGAUAUGCAAAGAGUUUCAACCUAGGAACGCCAUAAUUUCAAAUGAACUUUUCGCAGCUUCAGAAAGAUGCCAAUCCUUUUCCUUCUCCUAAUCCUCUCUCCCCUUUCCAGCAGAAACUUCCCUGCCAAAUCCACUUUUCUCCUUGUCUUCCUUUAAGACUGUCUUCAGCCUCCACCCAGGGCUUCUCUCUGCCCAAAGCACCAGCACCAAGAGUCCCUCCUGGUCCUUUACCUGGUUCAACACUGGAGCAGAUUACCCUGGAGGCAGGUGGACUGAGGUGCUGCCAGGAGCUUCUGCCUUUUAUACAGGUUCAGCUCUGACCUGGCAUCAGGCAAUGCCAACCAAGGGCAGGAUGCUGAUAGCAUCUUUCCCAAGGGGCACAGGUGACUACCCUCCCCUCGCAUCCCAAGGACCCAAUUCCUCCCUCCAUAAGUAUGUCAAGUAUUAACCCACAGGAAGAUCCCCUGAGAAUUGCUGGCCUCUAACUAAGAUAACGAUGCACUCAAUGCCUGUCGGUCUCGCAAGCAUCUCUGCUAUGUUCCUGAUUUCCCAACCUCAGUCAAUAGGGUUCUAGACCUCUGCGAAGGGAAGUACUCUCUUCUCUUUGGUAUAGGAAAUGGAGGGAAAAUUCCCAACAUGGAAAUUAAAUGGACCUUUUGGAAUAAAGAUACCAAUCCAAAAUAAAGUGCCAAGCCCAGGC
rnacentral:lncRNA from 1 species